rnacentral:rRNA from 1 species
GAUGAACGCUGGCGGCGUGCUUAACACAUGCAAGUCGAACGAUGAAGCCCAGCUUGCUGGGUGGAUUAGUGGCGAACGGGUGAGUAACACGUGAGUAACCUGCCCCCGACUCUGGGAUAAGCCCGGGAAACUGGGUCUAAUACCGGAUAUUACCUCUUGCCGCAUGGCAGGUGGUGGAAAGAUUUAUCGGUGGGGGAUGGACUCGCGGCCUAUCAGCUUGUUGGUGAGGUAAUGGCUCACCAAGGCGACGACGGGUAGCCGGCCUGAGAGGGUGACCGGCCACACUGGGACUGAGACACGGCCCAG